GCUCAAGUGAGCUCUGUACUUCACGCCGGUCUUAGCUCUCCGGCAUCUGUCGCCUCCUCUUGGGCGUGGGCUUUUGCAAGCCACUGCACUAUCUCCCAUUUCCCAGCCCUCUCCUCCCCCCACCUCUGCCGCAAUCAUCUUUCAGGUCUCCGAUUCCACUCAGACCUUCACCCAGCCCUUGGCCAGAAGAGGAGAAUGGAACUCUAGCUGAAGAGGUGGAGUUUUCCUGGACUGAGCCCCUGCCCUGUCUGCGUCGCCAUGCCUCCAGGAAUACCAGCUAGAGAGCUUCCUGGGAGGCUCCCGAUCAGCUUCCAGCCUGCUCCGUCCCUGAGGGUGUCUGCAGGCUACCUCACCCCAAAGGCACACGUAUGUUCAACUAUUCCAAACAUCCCUUGGCUCGGCCUUUGUAGACUAUGAGCUCUUUGUCAUUUCCUAAUUGCUGGGCACGGACAGUUACGGGACACUGAAAAGAUAGUAAGUGCUGAUAAAUGGAAGAAGACUCCUCUCGGUUACCAAGUUGGCACUGCAUACAAGUUCCUGUUGCCAUUGGUCAGGAGACUCAGAGAACUGCCGUGGGCACACUGAGUGGGUAAGAGCAGUGUUGGAGAACCAGGGAGGGGAGCCAAAUUCCUACGCUGGAGAGGUCACAGGGCAGCUCGGAUCGAUACAGCACUUUUGAUCUGCACGGUUAUCAAGGUCCACAGCAUCACUCCCUCUUCCCACUGGCUAAUGGAACUCUUUACCCUAAAUUAAGAUGAUUAUUUCGCUUUGAUGUCGCUUUUAUACUUGCAAAGUGUUUUAUAAUCCUUCAUUAGCUGUUUUAUUCUCUUCUCAUUAGCAUUAGCAUUACCCACUUCACAAAGCAGGUAACUCAAGACAACACGAGGGUGCUGAGCCUGUGGCCUGAACCCUGGCCACAGACUUCACAGACUCCAGCUGAUGGAGACUUGGUGGCCCUCAGGAGGAAGU